rnacentral:rRNA from 1 species
CACGUAGGGCGCAAGCGUUGUCCGGAAUUAUUGGGCGUAAAGAGCUCGUAGGCGGUCUGUUGCGUCCGCUGUGAAAACCCGGGGCUUAACCCCUGGCUUGCAGUGGAUACGGACAGACUAGAGGUAGGUAGGGGAGAAUGGAAUUCCCGGUGUAGCGGUGAAAUGCGCAGAUAUCGGGAGGAACACCAGUGGCGAAGGCGACUUUCUGGUCUGUAACUGACACUGAGGCGCGAAAGCGUGGGGAGCAAACAGG